rnacentral:rRNA from 1 species
CAAUAGCGUAUAUUAAUGUUGUUGCAGUUAAAAAGCUCGUAGUCGGAUUUUGGCUGAGAACGAACGGUCCGCCGUUAGGUGUGUACUGUUUGGUCUCAGCUUCCUGGUGAGGAGGUGUGCUUCACGGCCACUUAGUCACCGUGGUUACUUUGAAAAAAUUAGAGUGUUCAAAGCGGGCUUACGCUUGAAUAUAUUAGCAUGGAAUAACACCAUAGGACUCCUGUCCUAUUUCGUUGGUCUCGGGACGGGAGUAAUGAUUAAGAGGAACAGUUGGGGGCAUUCGUAUUUCAUUGUCAGAGGUGAAAUUCUUGGAUUUAUGAAAGACGAACUUCUGCGAAAGCAUUUGCCAAGGAUGUUUUCAUUGA